GCGUGUGCCAGGAUGGGAUUCCCUGAGGAGUACAUCUGGAGCUGAGAAUUGGAGUUUGCUGGAGUGUUCACUGAAUGAGGGGUGGGAGGAGAGCCAGCAUUCAUACUGAAAGAGAAACCCACUGGCAGGAGGACACAGGGUGAGCGUUUUGACAGAGAUCCUGUGGGUGACAUGGGGAAGGGAAGGAAUACAUUUAUCUGUGUUUGGGAAAGUGGAAUGACUCAGGAAGGCUUCACAGAUUAUGUGCCUGGAUUAUGAAGAACAAUAUGUUUUCUCAACAGGCAAGGUAAGAAGAGCUGUCCAAGAAAGGAAUUGCUAGAGGCUUCAUGGAACAAGUGGGAUGUAAGAUGCAUCUUCAAGAGUGAGUGACAUUUUGGCAUGGCAUUUGAGAGGUGACAAUCCAGAGGCUAUGAGCAACAGCCCCAGAUGGGAAAGCACCAAGGAGUGAAGAAGCUUACGAGCAAAAACUAUUUUAUUCAACAAAGAUCUACAGAGCAUCUGAAAAGCAGCACAGUUCUGCCACAAUGGGGCUCAAGUUUAAGUGACUGCAAAGUCCAGGAUUCUUAAAGCUUAAAUAUUAACACACAGUUCCAGACUUGCAAUGCCCCAGAGGCACAGGAUAAACAUGCCCUCAAAUCUUCUCUGGCAGGGGACACCCUCAAUCCACUUUAUUCAGGAUUCACAAAGGUGGAAUCAGAGUGAAUGAGCUCAAAAUUAAAAAUUAAAGCACAAACAAAAAUAUAAGCCAUUGACAGUGAGAUUAGCAGAAAUACAAAGCAAACAAACAAGAUAUUUAAACUCCUUAGACCAUAAGAUAAUAUCACCAUUAGAGAUUUAAAAAUAAAUAUAUUUUUAAAAUUUUAAAGUAUGAAAGACACUAAAAAGUGAGAUACAAUCGAGAGCUUAUCAUGAAAGGCCAGAUAUUUUUGUAAAAGAACCAAAUAGAACUCCCAGAAGUGAAAAAUGUAGUUAUUGCAAUUAAAGUCACAAUGGACAAACUAGACAGCCCAAAUGUACACAAAAGGAGAAAUAAUUGGGAAACUGGAAGGUAGAACUGCAUGCAUUUACCCAGAAUGCAACACAGAAACUUAACAUGGGGAAAAUGGACACUAAAAUGAGCAAUCCAUUAUUUUAAAAAAUCAAAAAAAAAAAAGAAAAUAACAAACAAAUGAACAAACAAACAAACAAAAACAGGUGCUGGCAAGAUUGUGGAGAAAAGAAAACACUUAUACACUGCUGGUGGGAAUGUAAACUAGUUUAGCCACUGUGGAAAGCAGUGUAAAGAUUUCUUUAAAAAGUUAGAACUCUCAUUUGACCGAGCAAUCCCACUACUGGAAAUAUAUCCAAAGGAAAAUAAAUUGUUCUACCAAAAAGACACAUGUAGUUGUAUGUUCACUGCAGCACUAUUUACAAUAGCAAAUAUAUCAGAAUCAAAAAAGAUGUUCAUCAAUGCUGGAUAAAGAAAAUGUCUUUUACAGCAACAUGGAUGCAGCUGGAGGCCAUUAUCCUAAGUGAACUAACGCAGAACAGAAAACCAAAUACUGCAUGUUCUCACUUAUAUAUGGGUGCCAAACUUUGAAUACACAUGGACACAAAGAUGGGAAAAACAGACACUAGGGACUGCUUGAGGCAGGGGGGUGGAGGAGGUGUGCAUUGGAAGAUUACCUAUCCAGUACUAUGCUCAUUAUCUGGGUGAUGAGAUCAUUCAUACACCAAGCCUCAGCAGCACACAAUUUACUCAUGUAACAAACCUGCACAUGUAUCCCCAGAACCUAAAAUAAAAGAAGAAAAAAAAACACCCAGGUAUAUGCUGCCUACAAGAGACUCAAUUCACAUUAAAUAAAUAAAUAAAUAAAUAAAUAAAUAAAUAAAUAAAUAAAUAAAAUGAGCAAUCUAAUUUACAUCCAGCAGGAGUCCCAGAAAGGGCAGGGUAAGAGAGAUUUGAGAGACAGUCUUCAAAUGACUGUGGAUUUCCCAAGCUGAUGAAAGACAUGGAUGCCAUGUUUAGGAGGACAUCAAAUCUUAAGCAAGGAUUGUUCAGUUGAUGUAAGAUAGAAUGGAUGUGUUUUAUAGGACAUAGAUAGAGCCUUAGACCAAGCAGAGAACAUACAUUCUUCACCAGCACACUUGGCACAAAAAAUGCCUGUUGGCCCACUAUUGAAUAGGCCAAAUAAUCAGUAGCAUGCAGACCAUUGUUUUUUAUCUCAGUACAAUAAAGUUAGAAAGCAGUAACUAUAAUUGAAUGAUUAAAAUUGUGAAGAUGUUAGUAUCAUUAAUAUUUUUACAUUAAACUUCUCACUGAUAGUACACAGGCAUCUAGUACAUAGGAUGCAUUGCUGUCACUCAGGCUCAUCAAACCUGGCUUUGAUAUUUGGUUAUUGAGGGAAUGGGGCUUGAAAUGGUUUGCUUCUUCCUUCCCAAGUAAUUUCCUCUCAUUGCUGUAUUGGUUAAGAAACUGUUUAUAUAGGAGUCUAAUUAAAUAUACUUGAAUGUAUAUAACAGUCCCCUUCCUUCUUGCUGUGUUGCCUUAGGUGAGUCAAUUAAAUUCUCUGUACUAAGUUUUCUCAUUUGUAUAAUGGAGGUAAUAGUACCUACCUCUUAGCAUCAUUAAAAAUGUAAAUUUACUAAUAGGUGUAAAAUACUAAGAACAGUCUUUAUCACCUAAUUUUAAAAAUAUGACUAUCAAUUUUUAGUUUUAAAGUUACACUGAUGGAUUUAUCCUACCCUGCAGUCAGAGAUUUGGGUGAGAAUGACCUACAGUAUCUGGAGAAGGGGAGAAGCAUGGUGAGGGUCCUGGGGGGGACCAAGGUUCAGAGGGUGCAUAUUCUCUGAGCUAAGCCAUUGGAAAAUCUAGGACUUUACAAAGGCAUGCAGAGGCCCUUCCCAGCAAAACUCCAUGUUAGGAUGCAGGAUAGACACUGGGAUAAGAUGAAAUCCCCUCUAAUUUUCUCCUUCACUGAGUCCUUUUGUAGAAACAGGCUCUGCAAACACUUUGUAAGGUUCCUCUAGAAAUGGCUUCAGCAACUUAUAAGUCACAGAAUGUAGAAAUGUGACCAUGUGUCCAGGUGAAUCGAUUAAACAGUUCAGUCCCCAAAACAGCAAAGGUUGAAAGGAAAUGUAGAAAAAGGUAAAGGGAAGAGGUACAUUCAUAAAGUUGUUGUGGAAGAAAGUCAGUGACGGGGAACAACAAGAAGGAAAAUUGUGUUCCCCAUGAUUUGUUCAAUUUGAAUCUUAUGGUAAGCUGAAAUAAUCAGACACAUAUUUAUUAGUCAAUUUCAAAAAUAAAAUAAAAUAAAACAAUACCUGCGUAUAAAGUGAAACAUUAAAGACACAGUGGUCACCACAACAAAAAAUUCUCCAAAUUGUUAGUUUUAUUAUCUGUAAAAUAGAAUAUAAAAAUUUACUCAGCUGGAUUGUUUUGAAGAAUACAUAAGAUAAUAAGUGAAAUGUGUUUGGAAUAGAUAAAUCCUCAGUCAGUCUAUGUGUUGCCUUUUUAAUAAAAAUAGUAUGAUCAUACUGUUUGUAUAAAUUUAGAUGAUGCUUUUUUCUUUUACAACUCAUGUCCUACUUCUGUUUUAAAAAAUACCUACCUAAAAAUACCUACUUCUGUUUUAAAAAAUACCUAAUAAACUCUUUUAAACUCUGU
rnacentral:lncRNA from 10 species